rnacentral:piRNA from 1 species
UGGCCAUGGUGGAAGGUGCUCUG